AGAUUUCCGAAUGGGGAAACCCAGCAUGAGUUAUGUCAUGUUAUCGAUAUGUGAAUACAUAGCAUAUCAGAAGGCACACCCGGAGAACUGAAACAUCUUAGUACCCGGAGGAAGAGAAAGAAAAUUCGAUUCCCUUAGUAGCGGCGAGCGAAACGGGAAGAGCCCAAACCAACAAGCUUGCUUGUUGGGGUUGUAGGACACUCUAUACGGAGUUACAAAGGACGACAUUAGACGAAUCAUCUGGAAAGAUGAAUCAAAGAAGGUAAUAAUCCUGUAGUCGAAAAUGUUGUCUCUCUUGAGUGGAUCCUGAGUACGACGGAGCACGUGAAAUUCCGUCGGAAUCUGGGAGGACCAUCUCCUAAGGCUAAAUACUCUCUAGUGACCGAUAGUGAACCAGUACCGUGAGGGAAAGGUGAAAAGCACCCCGGAAGGGGAGUGAAAUAGAACCUGAAACCGUGUGCUUACAAGUAGUCAGAGCCCGUUAAUGGGUGAUGGCGUGCCUUUUGUAGAAUGAACCGGCGAGUUACGAUUUGAUGCAAGGUUAAGCAGUAAAUGUGGAGCCGUAGCGAAAGCGAGUCUGAAUAGGGCGUUUAGUAUUUGGUCGUAGACCCGAAACCAGGUGAUCUACCCUUGGUCAGGUUGAAGUUCAGGUAACACUGAAUGGAGGACCGAACCGACUUACGUUGAAAAGUGAGCGGAUGAACUGAGGGUAGCGGAGAAAUUCCAAUCGAACCUGGAGAUAGCUGGUUCUCUCCGAAAUAGCUUUAGGGCUAGCCUCAAGUGAUGAUUAUUGGAGGUAGAG
rnacentral:rRNA from 1 species